GACGAACGCUGGCGGCGUGCUUAACACAUGCAAGUCGAACGGAGAGGCGCUGCUUUUGUGGGGUGCUCGAGUGGCGCACGGGUGAGUAACACGUGAGUAUACUGCCCCUGACUUUGUGGUAACUUCAGGAAACUGGGGCUCAUACCCCAUAGAAGCUCCUGCUGCGUGGUGGGGGUUGGAAAGUUUCGGCGGUGGUGGAUCGUCUCGCGGCUUAUCCGCUGGUUGGGAAGGUAGUGGCUUUCAAAGGCUUUGACGGGUAGCCGGCAUGAGAGGCGUACCGGGCACAAUGGGACUGGGGUACGGCCCAGACUGCAAUGGGAGGCAGGAGUCGGGAAUGUUCCACAAGGGGCGGAAGCCUGAGGCAGCAACGCCGCGUGCGGAAAAACGGCCUUCGAGUGGAAAACCGCUGUCGCAUGUGACGAGCCGUGAGUGACGGUACUUAGUAAAGAAGCACCGGCUAACUACGUG
rnacentral:rRNA from 1 species